UAAAAAGGUAAAAGCAAACCCUAAGUCCCAUAUCUUCUCCCUCUUGGCUAUAUGCGGCAUCAGCUACUUCUCUCUCUUGGCUUCGUACUCUCCUCUUAUCCUGGGUUGGGCAGCAACAUCUUGGGUUGGGCGGCAGCAACAUCUUCUUCUCUUUGGCAGUAGCUUCACCUCUCCUCUUGUCCACAACAAGCUAUCUUUUAUUAUGUCGGACCACAAUCGGAACCCCAAGAGAGCAAAGAAUUUGUUGUCUUUUUAUAAGAAAAAGAAUGAUGGGUCAUCAUCCAGUAAAAUUCCUUCUGGCACUUCUUUAUCUACUCCAAUUAGUGAUGAGCAAAAUCUUCAUGACUCUCCCAUUGUCGAGCCUCAAGUUGAAAGAGUUGAAUCUCAAAAAUUUGAUGAUGAUCAAGAUUUUAAUAUCAAUUAUCUUGAACGUGAUUCAGGAUUACGUCGUCUAAUAUGCAAAUAUCCGGUCAAUGAACAAGAUAAUGUGCAAAAAGCAUAUAUUCUUUUAGGACCAUGUCAACCCGAGUUAGAAGAUUAUCCAAGCCACUUAGAAGGGCAGAACUUUCAUCGAUUUAAUAAAAAGUGGUUCGGCCAAUUCA